UGACAGCCCGGCCAGCCUUCAUGUGU
rnacentral:piRNA from 1 species